GGCCCGGUGGCGGAAGGUCCGCGUCAACGCUGCAUAUCUUGAGAAUGAUGUGUGAUUCGCUCGUUCGACUCGAGCCCGGGCCA